UUAGGUGUGAAAAUCACCCACAGAGGGUUGCUAGACCCCAGCCCGUAACCCCAUGCUUAGGUUUGCAGCAAACUCCUGGCACUUCUUCCCUGAGUUCAGGGAAAACAGGGACCUGUUCUGUUGUGCACAUCAAGAAGCCUCGGAGGGUUUCCAGGCAGGGCAUUUUAGUGUGGCUUCCCAAGGAAAUGGGAUGGGUGUGAUCCAGGAGGUCUCAGAUGGCUGGCCAGCUCAUCUCCUCCUGGCACCCUUGGACCUGUCGCUAUGUCCAGGGAAGAGAUUCCAAAGUUGGAAUGAGUUUCUUGAAAGUAGGUGGGCGGAUAGAGAUUUUCCCUGCUUCCCCAAGGGAGGCUGAUGUGCUGACCCCCUAUUAGACAUCAGAGGAUCCGCACUGCGGAUGGGCGAGGUGAGAAAUGGGUCAGGUGUGACUCCAGCCAAUGUCUCCUCCCGUGUUCCUUGCAGUGCCCCCCGCUCCCCCCUACCCCGUGCUCGG